UACGAGGGGGGCAAAUGUUGUUCGGAAUCACUGGGCGUAAAGGGAGCGUAGGCGGGUUCUUAAGUAAGGUGUUUAAUCCCGGGGCCCAACCCCGGACCGGCACUUUAAACUGGGAAUCUUGAAUAGUGGAGAGGUCAGUGGAAUUGGGGGUGUAGCGGUGGAAUGCGUAGAGACCCCCAAGAACACCAGUUGCGAAGGCGGCUGACUGGACACAUAUUGACGCUGAGGCUCGAAAGCAUGGGGAGCAAACAGG
rnacentral:rRNA from 1 species